AGUAAGUUUUUAGAAUUUCGGGUUAGAAUUUCGGUUCGAAAAUGGCCAUCAUCGGAUGGUACGGUUACAGCAAGCUGCUUCAGGAAGAAAAACGGACGAUUUGUGCGACGUAAGUGGAAAUUUCGUUCAUCAAAGCUAAGUUCGGAUCUGGGUCAUAUUGCCGGGGAAAAAAAAUCAGAUGCCGACGGCUGCUGCUCCAAAAACCCAGCGCACAAAAAGGCGUUGUUUGUUAAACAUUUCCAAAGGUUUAUCAGUAAUGGCGAAUGCUGCCGGUUUAUAUAUUUUCCUCAACUGAAGUUACCCCCGUGGCAUGCCGGAAGUUGUUUCGCCUGCCAGAUAGGAGAUCAUGGAAUGCCGAGCAUUUAUCGAAACCAACGAAAUAGCAGCAGCAGCAUCAGAUUCAAACGACAAAUUUCGGUCACAUAAACCUAAAUCCGGUUUCUUUGCAUAGCAUAUUAUUAAAAAGUGAAAAUAAAAUUAAAAGUACUAUAAUAUUUGAA